rnacentral:rRNA from 1 species
UACGAAGGGGGCUAGCGUUGCUCGGAAUUACUGGGCGCAAAGCGCACGUAGGCGGCUUGUUAAGUCAGGGGUGAAAUCCUGGAGCUCAACUCCAGAACUGCCUUUGAUACUGGCGAGCUUGAGUUCGGGAGAGGUGAGUGGAACUGCGAGUGUAGAGGUGAAAUUCGUAGAUAUUCGCAAGAACACCAGUGGCGAAGGCGGCUCACUGGCCCGAUACUGACGCUGAGGUGCGAAAGCGUGGGGAGCAAACAGG